UACGUAGGGUGCAAGCGUUGUCCGGAAUUAUUGGGCGUAAAGAGCUCGUAGGCGGUUUGUCGCGUCUGCUGUGAAAACUCGGGGCUCAACUCCGAGCUUGCAGUGGGUACGGGCAGACUAGAGUGCGGUAGGGGAGACUGGAAUUCCUGGUGUAGCGGUGGAAUGCGCAGAUAUCGGGAGGAACACCAAUGGCGAAGGCAGCUCGCUGGGACGGUACUGACGCUGAGGCGCGAAAGCGUGGGGAGCAAACAGG
rnacentral:rRNA from 1 species